GUUCCAGUUAUGACCUAGUUCUUGUGGUGGUCAAGUUUCAUUGCAUUAUAGACUGCUUUUAUGUGUAUCAAAAUUUAUUCAUUGGCUACCAUUGUGAAUAACUUGCAAUGGACAAGUUCAUCUGAAACCUUUUUAUUAGAUAUUAAAACUCUAAUCAUUGGCUUAUUGUGUCGCAGUUUUCCCAAUUGUAGAUAGUAAAAUUAAAGUCGUUCCUAGCAAACAAUCGUGCAUUCUGUUGGUUAAUUUGAUCUGCAUAGUAUCAUUUGUGACCAACGUGUAUUUGUUCCUGCUGUCCAACAAUUCGCUCGUUCAAAGGCAACAAACGGAGGAUAGCGAAUCGCUACCGGAACCAACGCAAAUUCUGCUGAUCGAUCGUGUCAAUUGUGCUUAACAACGAAUCGCUAUACUCCGGGCUGAUCGUGGUCCGGCACAAGAUGCUAUACCGGAUCUACGCUUGCACGGGAAAUUGUAACAUACCGAAACCGAAUGAGGGGGAAGAUGCAUCAAACGGUGCGGAAUCGUCCCCACUGGGCUACCGACCAACGUGUAAUUGUUCCUGCUGUCUGAAAGGUCGACCGGACUCGCUCGAUCAAGUACCAAACGGGAUACUGAGUCGCUACCGGAAGCGACACCAAUUCCGCUGAAAUCUAUCGUUUGUGUGUUACCACGAACCGCUAUACUCCGCGCUGAUCGUGCUCCGGAACGAAAUGCUACACCGGUUCUACGCUUGCAUGGGAAUUUUAAUCGUACCGAAACGGUAAGAGUCAAUGUCCAUCUGCUUCCAGUGUGCGGCAAUGAGAUUUCAGCUCGCCGGAUACACCACGGCCGCAGCUGCUUGUAGCAGGUGAAUUUGCUCAACACCAUAUUACGUUUAAAAGCGACCCAGACCGCCCGAAAUGUCACCUGAUUUGCUCUCUGAACGCGUUGCUCAUCCAGAGUUGCUUAUUUUGGCUAUUCGCAACUAACCUACACUGGAUACAAGUCGUUCCUGCAUCCGCCACCCGUGGACGCGCUCGAUGGCUCUCAACUGAGUUUGUGUAUGUAUGUGCCAUUAGGAGCCUUGAGGACAACCAUAACAACUGGGUGACUAAACAGAACAGCGGGACAUUAUGAUUUAGAGCAACACACCACCGUUCUAUGAAUCGUUGGGGUUUGCACCAUGCGAUGUAGAAUAAUAUAGUCAAUGAGACAAAAUAACUAAUCGAAUGAUUCACUGCGUAUAGUUUUUCUCAUGUUCCCAAUCUUCUAUUGGCAGACAGCCGCUUUAAAUAAUCGGUGCAACGUCGUAACAUUAUUUAGUGGAUUCUUGGUGGAAAUGUGGUGCUUCCUGCCGAUGUUGGUGACUCGAAGGCAAACCGAAUAAAAGGGCUCCAGAUUGAAACAGUUAAACAUAUAGGGUAGAUGAUUUAAUUUUUCUCAAACUAUUAGGGUGCUACACUAUGUUCCGAUGAAUAUACUGGAAGAGGUAGAGAUUUUGUGCGAAGUAGGGAUACCAAUUUUUUAUCCCAUAAUUUGAACAGCAGACGAUGUGUUCGGUUAGGUACAAUAAAUAGAUAGGCUACGAUGAUAUAAAGAGAUGUAACCCUCUCAGUGGGAGGCACGAUUCUCGAGAGUCUAAGAUAGAAUAUUUAUGCAAUUUCACCCGAUCGAAGUGAAUUAUAACUCUUACAGAAACAUGGACAAAUAUAUUGCGAAUGAAUAAAUUAUGUUUCUAAAGUAAA